rnacentral:rRNA from 1 species
UCGAACGGAAAGGCCUUGCUUGCAGGGUACUCGAGUGGCGAACGGGUGAGUAACACGUGGGUGAUCUGCCCUGCACUUCGGGAUAAGCCUGGGAAACUGGGUCUAAUACCGGAUAGGAGCCAUUUUUAGUGUGAUGGUUGGAAAGUUUUUUCGGUGUAGGAUGAGCUCGCGGCCUAUCAGCUUGUUGGUGGGGUAAUGGCCUACCAAGGCGGCGACGGGUAGCCGGCCUGAGAGGGUGGACGGCCACAUUGGGACUGAGAUACGGCCCAGACUCCUACGGGAGGCAGCAGUGGGGAAUAUUGCACAAUGGGCGCAAGCCUGAUGCAGCGACGCCGCGUGGGGGAUGACGGCCUUCGGGUUGUAAACUCCUUUCGCUAGGGACGAAGCUUUUUGUGACGGUACCUAGAUAAGAAGCACCGGCUAACUACGUGCCAGCAGCCGCGGUAAUACGUAGGGUGCGAGCGUUGUCCGGAAUUACUGGGCGUAAAGGGCUCGUAGGUGGUUUGUCGCGUCGUCUGUGAAAUUCCGGGGCUUAACUCCGGGCGUGCAGGCGAUACGGGCAUAACUUGAGUACUGUAGGGGUAACUGGAAUUCCUGGUGUAGCGGUGAAAUGCGCAGAUAUCAGGAGGAACACCGAUGGCGAAGACAGCCAUCUGGCCUAAUACUGACACUGAGGUGCGAAAGCAUGGGGAGCAAACAGGAU